rnacentral:rRNA from 1 species
AGAGUUUGAUCCUGGCUCAGAUUGAACGCUGGCGGCAUGCCUUACACAUGCAAGUCGAACGGCAGCACGGGUGCUUGCACCUGGUGGCGAGUGGCGAACGGGUGAGUAAUACAUCGGAACAUGUCCUGUAGUGGGGGAUAGCCCGGCGAAAGCCGGAUUAAUACCGCAUACGAUCUACGGAUGAAAGCGGGGGACCUUCGGGCCUCGCGCUAUAGGGUUGGCCGAUGGCUGAUUAGCUAGUUGGUGGGGUAAAGGCCUACCAAGGCGACGAUCAGUAGCUGGUCUGAGAGGACGACCAGCCACACUGGGACUGAGACACGGCCCAGACUCCUACGGGAGGCAGCAGUGGGGAAUUUUGGACAAUGGGCGAAAGCCUGAUCCAGCAAUGCCGCGUGUGUGAAGAAGGCCUUCGGGUUGUAAAGCACUUUUGUCCGGAAAGAAAUCCUUGGCUCUAAUACAGUCGGGGGAUGACGGUACCGGAAGAAUAAGCACCGGCUAACUACGUGCCAGCAGCCGCGGUAAUACGUAGGGUGCGAGCGUUAAUCGGAAUUACUGGGCGUAAAGCGUGCGCAGGCGGUUUGCUAAGACCGAUGUGAAAUCCCCGGGCUCAACCUGGGAACUGCAUUGGUGACUGGCAGGCUAGAGUAUGGCAGAGGGGGGUAGAAUUCCACGUGUAGCAGUGAAAUGCGUAGAGAUGUGGAGGAAUACCGAUGGCGAAGGCAGCCCCCUGGGCCAAUACUGACGCUCAUGCACGAAAGCGUGGGGAGCAAACAGGAUUAGAUAUCCUGGUAGUCCACGCCCUAAACGAUGUCAACUAGUUGUUGGGGAUUCAUUUCCUUAGUAACGUAGCUAACGCGUGAAGUUGACCGCCUGGGGAGUACGGUCGCAAGAUUAAAACUCAAAGGAAUUGACGG